GACGAACGCUGGCGGCAUGCCUAAUACAUGCAAGUCGAGCGAACAGAUGAAGUGCUUGCACUUCUGACGUUAGCGGCGAACGGGUGAGUAACACGUAAGGAAUCUACCUAUAAGCGGGGGAUAACAUUCGGAAACGGGUGCUAAUACCGCAUAAUAUCUUCUUCCGCAUGGAAGGAGAUUGAAAGACGGCUCUACUGUCACUUAUAGAUGACCUUGCGGUGCAUUAGUUAGUUGGUGGGGUAACGGCCUACCAAGACGAUGGUGCAUAGCCGACCUGAGAGGGUGAUCGGCCACAUUGGGACUGAGACACGGCCCAAACUCCUACGGGAGGCAGCAGUAGGGAAUCUUCCGCAAUGGGCGAAAGCCUGACGGAGCAAUGCCGCGUGAGUGAAGAAGGCCUUCGGGUCGUAAAACUCUGUUAUAAGAGAAGAACAAAUUGUAGAGUAACUG
rnacentral:rRNA from 1 species